rnacentral:rRNA from 1 species
UAGGGAAUCUUCCGCAAUGGACGCAAGUCUGACGGAGCAACGCCGCGUGAGUGAAGAAGGAUUUCGGUUCGUAAAACUCUGUUGUUAGAGAAGAACAGCGCAUAGAGUAACUGUUAUGCGUGUGACGGUAUCUAACCAGAAAGGGACGGCUAACUACGUGCCAGCAGCCGCGGUAAUACGUAGGUCCCGAGCGUUGUCCGGAUUUAUUGGGCGUAAAGCGAGCGCAGGCGGUUAGAAAAGUCUGAAGUUAAAGGCAGUGGCUCAACCAUUGUAGGCUUUGGAAACUGUUUAACUUGAGUGCAGAAGGGGAGAGUGGAAUUCCAUGUGUAGCGGUGAAAUGCGUAGAUAUAUGGAGGAACACCGGUGGCGAAAGCGGCUCUCUGGUCUGUAACUGACGCUGAGGCUCGAAAGCGUGGGGAGCGAACAGG